UGGGGAAUAUUGGACAAUGGGCGCAAGCCUGAUCCAGCCAUGCCGCGUGAAGGAUGAAGUAUUUCGGUAUGUAAACUUCGAAAGAAUAGGAAGAAUCAAUGACGGUACUAUUUAUAAGGUCCGGCUAACUACGUGCCAGCAGCCGCGGUAAUACGUAGGGACCAAGCGUUGUUCGGAUUUACUGGGCGUAAAGGGCGCGUAGGCGGCGCGGUAAGUCACUUGUGAAAUCUCUGAGCUUAACUCAGAACGGCCAAGUGAUACUGCAGUGCUAGAGUGCGGAAGGGGCAAUCGGAAUUCUUGGUGUAGCGGUGAAAUGCGUAGAUAUCAAGAGGAACACCUGAGGUGAAGACGGGUUGCUGGGCUGACACUGACGCUGAGGCGCGAAAGCCAGGGGAGCAAACGGGAUUAGAUACCCAAGUAGUCCCUGAGCGGGCUGGCAAGGCGCAU
rnacentral:rRNA from 1 species